CCUACGGGAGGCAGCAGUGGGGGAUAUUGCACAAUGGGGGGAACCCUGAUGCAGCGACGCCGCGUGGGUGAAGAAGCGCCUCGGCGCGUAAAGCCCUGUCAGCAGGGAAGAAAAUGACGGUACCUGAAGAAGAAGCCCCGGCUAACUACGUGCCAGCAGCCGCGGUAAUACGUAGGGGGCAAGCGUUAUACGGAUUUACUGGGUGUAAUGGGGGCGCAGACGGUGAUGCAAGCCAGGAGUGAAAGCCCGGGGCCCAACCCCGGGACUGCGCUUGAAACGGGGUGGCUGGAGUACAGGAGGGGGAGGCGGAAUUCCUGGUGUAGCGGUGAAAGGCGUAGAUAUCAGGAGGAACACCGGUGGCGAAGGCGGCCUGCUGGACUGCAACUGACGUUGAGGCCCGAAAGCGUGGGGAGCAAACAGGAUUAGAUACCCUUGUAGUC
rnacentral:rRNA from 1 species